rnacentral:rRNA from 1 species
GACGAACGCUGGCGGCGUGCUUCACACAUGCAAGUCGAACGGGGCUCAUCCGGUGGCAACACUGGAGAAGGCCUAGUGGCGAACGGGUGAGUAACACGUGAGGAACCUGCCCCGAAGACCGGGAUAACAGCGGGAAACCGCUGCUAAUACCGGAUGCCCCCCACCAGGCCACAUGGCCAGGCGAGGAAAUGGGCUUCCAC